rnacentral:tRNA from 1 species
GCGCAUUUAGCUUAGUGGUUAAAGCAGCACUCAUGAAGUUUGGAUUCAUGGGUUCAAUUACCAUAGUGCACA